UAGUUAUGUUCUUCAAAAUUAAAGAUUUUGGCGGUAUUUUAGUCUAUUCAGAGGAACCUGUUCUAUAAUUGAUAGUCCACGAAUUACUUUACUUUAUUUAAAAGUUUGUAUAUCGUCGUUUAUAAAGAAUUUUAUAAGAAUAAAAAUUUUUAAGAUUUUUAAUUAAAAAAUAUAUCAGAUCAAGGUGCAGUUUAUAAUAAAGAAGAAAUGGGUUACAAUAAAUUUAUUUAAACGGAUAAGUAAGAGAAUUUUUAUUUUGAAGGAGGAUUUGAUAGUAAUAAAAUAAAAUUUUAUUUUAUGAUUUUAGCUCUAAAAUAUGU
rnacentral:rRNA from 1 species